rnacentral:rRNA from 1 species
CGGACGGGUGAGUAAUGUAUGGGGAUCUGCCUGAUGGGGGGGGAUAACUACUGGAAACGGUAGCUAAUACCGCAUAAUGUCUACGGACCAAAGCGGGGGACCUCCGGGCCUCGCGCCAUCAGAUGAACCCGUAUGGGAUUAGCUAGUAGGUAAGGUAACGGCUUACCUAGGCGACGAUCCCUAGCUGGUCUGAGAGGAUGAUCAGCCACACUGGGACUGAGACACGGCCCAG